UCCCUUCCAAGUGAAAAAAGACAAGCAUGAGGUUGGAUUCAUUUUGGAAUAACAUUUUUUUUUAAACACAAAAAUAUCCCUCUAAGCUACGCCCAGACUUAAACUCAGCCCAAAAGAGAUUUUUGAAGUAUUUUAGUGAUGCCAUGGAGCAGUCCCUGCCCUGCUCCCAGCUUUGGCUCCAGCCCUGGGGUCUGGAUCCUCACUGCAGGAUGAGGAACAGAUGGAAAAAGUCCUGGCAUGAGCCAAGGACAGGGAAUCACACCAGCACCACCUUGGGAUGUUCACAAUUCCAGCAGAUCCCAAACCCCAGAAAGGUUUGGUUACCAGACACAAAAAGCUCCUUAGUACCAAGGACAGGGAAAUCAGAUACAAAGUGGGGAAUGACAGCCUCAGGAACAGAAAGGUUCCAAAUUCCCAAUUUUAGGGAGUAAUUAAUAAAAAGAAUGAACGCUGCCAAGCCUCAAAAGAAACACCCCAAUAUGAUCUGGGGUAAGGUAAAAACCAAUGGAAAGGGAACAGAAAAUCCAUUUGGAAAACAAAGUUUCCAAGGAAUUAAACCUUGAUGGUUCCAGAAACUCAAACCAGAAUUCAAGAGGAGCUCACCCUGACAAACAAAGCUGUACUGAACAAGGAAGUUAUGUAAAGCUGCAGAUUCCCUCUGGAGAGAACACCUGGCACAAUAAACUGAAGAGAAUUAAAUCCAGAGCGUGCAGUUGGCAGGGAAAACACAACUCCUGCACCUGGGCAGGGUUUCAGGGAUGGAUCCCAGCACCUUUGGGUGAGUGACUGUUGCUUCCCUGGGACAGCUGCUCACACAGGGGCUCCAACCCAGGCACUAUUUCCAGUUCAGUAUCAAACUCUCUCCUUAUGAGGCAGCUGGAGCCGAUUAUGACACUAUUUUGGAAGCUAAUCUUAUCUGAGGUAAUCAGCUUCAUUUCCUUCACUAGAUGCAAAACAGACUGAUGAGGACAGUGCUGAGAAAAUGAGUCUCAAUUUCCAGCUCAUCUUUCACUCACACUCCCUGCCUCUACCUCCUACAAUCCUUUUUUCCCUACACCAGUGGCUACAACAAGAAGGAAUAAAUUAAUAAAUAAGCAAUUUUUAUUUCAAA